rnacentral:rRNA from 1 species
GGCAGCAGUAGGGAAUAUUGCACAAUGGGCGAAAGCCUGAUGCAGCAACGCCGCGUGUGCGAUGAAGGCCUUCGGGUCGUAAAGCACUUUUCUGAGAGAUGAGGUAUCUCAGGAAUAAGUCUCGGCUAACUACGUGCCAGCAGCCGCGGUAAAACGUAGGAGGAGCGUUAUCCGGAUUCACUGGGCGUAAAGCGCGUGCAGGCGGUUCGGUAAGUUGGGUAUGAAAUCUCCUGGCUUAACUAGGAGAGGUUAUUCAAUACUACCGGACUUGAGAGUGGUAGAGGAAGAUGGAAUUCCCGGUGUAGUGGUGAAAUGCGUAGAUAUCGGGAGGAACACCAGUGGCGAAAGCGAUCUUCUGGACCAUUUCUGACGCUCAGACGCGAAAGCUAGGGUAGUAAACGGGAUUAGAGACCCCGGUAAUCCUAGCCGUAAACGAUGUAAACUUGGCGUCGGUGGCUUAAACACCAUCGGUGCCGCAGCUAACGCGAUAAGUUUACCGCCUGGGGACUACGAUCGCAAGAUUAAAACUCAAAGGAAUUGACGG